rnacentral:rRNA from 1 species
UACGGAGGGGGCGAGCGUUGUCCGAAUUUAUUGGGCGUGAAGCGCGUGUAGGCGGACCAUCAAGCCUGAGGUGAAAGGUUGGGGCUCAACCCCAUACAGUGCCUUGGGGACUGUUGGUCUGGAGGCAGGCAGAGGUAUGUGGAAUUCCUGGUGUAGCGGUGGAAUGCGUAGAGAUCAGGAAGAACACCCAUGGCGAAGGCAGCAUACUGGGCCUGUACUGACGCUGAGACGCGAAAGCGUGGGGAGCAAACGGG